rnacentral:rRNA from 1 species
UUGACCUCAAAUCAGGUAGGACUACCCGCUGAACUUAAGCAUAUCAAUAAGCGGAGGAAAAGAAACUAACAAGGAUUCCCCUAGUAACUGCGAGUGAAGCGGGAAAAGCUCAAAUUUGAAAUCUGGCAGUC